rnacentral:rRNA from 1 species
AUUGAACGCUGGCGGCAUGCCUUACACAUGCAAGUCGAACGGCAGCACGGGAGCAAUCCUGGUGGCGAGUGGCGAACGGGUGAGUAAUACAUCGGAACGUGCCCAGUCGUGGGGGAUAACGUAGCGAAAGUUACGCUAAUACCGCAUACGAUCUAUGGAUGAAAGCGGGGGCUCGCAAGACCUGGCGCGAUUGGAGCGGCCGGUGGCAGGUUAGGUUGUUGGUGGGGUAAUGACUUACCAAGCCUCCGAUCUGUAGCUGGUCUGAGAGGACGAUCAGCCACACUGGGACUGAGACACGGCCCAGACUCCUACGGGAGGCAGCAGUGGGGAAUUUUGGACAAUGGGCGAAAGCCUGAUCCAGCAAUGCCGCGUGCAGGACGAAGGCCUUCGGGUUGUAAACUGCUUUUGUACGGAGCGAAACGGCUCUCACUAAUACUGGGGGCUAAUGACGGUACCGUAAGAAUAAGCACCGGCUAACUACGUGCCAGCAGCCGCCGUAACAC